CUCCUUAUUGAUUUGGAACUGCUGGAUCAUCCAGUGAAGCAAACUUCUUGUCCACAUAGGAUUGGGUUGUCUUCCUUAUAUAUAAAAAAAAAAAAAAAAAAAACAUGUAGUGCACCAGCAAACAGCCACAAAACGAAAGUCUUAACAUUAUUCUUCGUUUGCUUCUCCAGACCAGCACAUAACUUUGCUCAAGCCACCUGUUGCACUAUCAAACGGAAGCGGAUUUCACGUGCAAUAGCGGUAGCAAUAGAAGACCCUCCAAUUAAUUGGAUGCUUCUGGGCUGACUUGGAACCAAAAGAGACAAACUCUCUUAUUGUCCUUUGUGUGCUGUAACUUUCCCAAGGUCAAUAACUCAAGAAAUCCUCUUGCCUUUCACGUGACUGUGCUGCCAGCUUGAAGGCUUUGGAGUUUGGUGGAGGAAACCACCUGUCAUUUUGCUUCAGAAACCCAAGAGAGAACUUGUGGUACAUGCCUUGCCAGCUCCCCUUUUUUUUUUGUUUGCUGUUGAUGUACCAUUGUCCAUGUCCUUUUCUUUUUCCCAGUCAUAAUAAACCAAAGAAAUAUUCAAGAGAGGGAGGAGGGGCUGUGCGAUACAGCCCCCUUUUUUUUUAUUUCAUUACUUUUUUAUCCCCCUUGUUUUGUCUUUUACUAACAAAACCCAACACACAGAACCACUUUUUCUUUUGCUCCUAUUCUUCCUCUGUUGGCUUUUUUUCGUUGGCUUGCAGGCAGCAAACACUCAUGAGGAGGCAAUUCAAUUUCCAUGCGCCCCUUUUGGUUUCGGAUGCUUCAUGCAGAAAUUUUACACAGGGACUUGUAAUUACAAGCCUUUGCUCUUUUGAUUUUGAUCCCAUGGUGGGUUCAUCUCUACAUCCAUGAUUUGAGAGAUUCUUUGCUCCUGGAAGAGCUUAUU